rfam:Capronia epimyces CBS 606.96 aczIQ-supercont1.3, whole genome shotgun sequence.
GAUCCUGUGACGCAGUCGGUUAGCGUGUCGUUCUUAUAUUGUAUGCUGUGCAUGCGGUAUGACUCCUUUCGAGCAAUGCGAAAGUCGCGAGUUCAAAUCUCGCCAGGAUCA